UAUGUAUAUUAACAUGUUAAGGAAAAAAAUACUAACAUACAGUUAUAUAUGUAUAUUAUACAUAGCACAGGUAAAUUUUUCCUCUUUCUUGCCAGGGGUGUCUUUUUAAAAACUCUGCCUGUGUUGACAGUAAGCCUUGUGUGGUGUGCUGGGGAGGGAUUGUGAUCUGUGCUUUUACACAUUUCUGCAUGUACAAAAUGCCUGUAAGCAAAAUGAAUCAGCACAGCUGGGUGUGCAUAAUUUUCAAGUUACUUAUGAAUCAGUAACUUCACUUCCUUCUGAAAACCUUAAGUCUUCCAGCUAAAUGAAUACUUUGCAUUCUAUUAGCAAAUACAAGAGGCAGCUUUUGUUGACUUUGGAUAAAUGGCAUUUGGACACUGGCAAGCUGUGCUUAUUAAGUGAUUUACAUUUAUGUGUCCACAGGUUUUAAUUUCAUUUGAUAUAUGAUGCCCUAUUUUGCCUUUAAAACUUUGCAUUUCCAAACAUUUUUUGUAAUUACUGAAGUCAGUGAUGAUCAUCUGAAAAUACAGAUGUCUUUGGAAAAUGUUAAAAUAAUCAUCUGUGGAAUGGCAAAAGUGUGAUGAAAAAUCCUUCUCCUCAAGUUUUUCUCAUUACUGAGUGAAGAGACAGGACUGUAAUGACAAUGAUGUCAUGCAAACAUUAGCAGCCUUGGAGAUUAAGGCAGUCUUUUCGAAGAAUGUCUGAGAUUACAUUUAAGUUGUUUCAAACCUAUCAUUAAAUAAACGAUCAUUUGUCCAGCCAUGUGAGUUCUAAGUAUAUUUUGCAGACUUUACAAAAUUACUAUUAUAGGAAUAUAAUAAAACCCUUUUCUGCAUUAAAAAUAGUUUAUUAUACAUUUCUAUAUCUCUCUAUAUUAUAUUUCUAUAUCUCUAAUUACAUAAUAAUUUCCAGAGUAUCUCAUUCUUACAAGUGAAAUACUUUUGUGAUGUUCAUAUUCCACAUUUCAACACGUUCAAGAUUUUCCAGCAGAGAUAAUGCUUUGUGAGUGUAUGUUAGUGUCUACCAAGCAGAUCUAGGAAUACCUAAAGCUGGUGACAAUACUUGCUGAGAUAAAUCAUGAACUUCUAGAGAUUAUUUCUAGCCUUUUGUGAUUGCUGGUGACCGUCCUUUUAAUUCCAGUCGCAACAGGAUUUCUCUCAGGAACGCUGACAUUUCUCUGCUUUUUUACCAGAAGGAAAUUUUAGCAAAGAAGCGUUCACUCUGGGUAUGACAUCUCAAAAAGAAAAUAUCAGAUAUAUAAGUUCAUAGGCUGUUUAGAUACUGUAAAUUUUGAAUAAAUAAUAUUAGAAGGGGAUGUGUUAUUCUAGCAACAAAAGGUUGUAACUAGUUCAGUGCUGCUGUUGUGGGGGUGAACUAGAGAAGCAAGACAUUAUUAAUUCCCUGAGCAUAAUAUCCUGAAGCAAAACAGCUGGAUUUUACUCUAUGCUUUGUGUUUUUAUGUUAAUUGAUACUUAUUCAGAAAGAUAUAGCAAUAUUGACAUAGCACUUUUGUUUAAAUGCAGAUUCCUUUGUGGGUUCAGUAGGAAAUACUCUGAAAUAUUGUAUUUGGUUGUAUUGAACUUGAGACAUGCAGGGAGGGAUUUGGCUUUUUUAUGACCAAAUGUUCAUCAGACAGCUAAAACCAUUACUUUUUUCUCCGACUCACUAUGUUUAUAUAAAAUAAAUUUCAAAUGGUUUUUUACAACAUUGAAAACAUUGUUUGUUUGUUUGUUAGUUUUCUUUUUCUUUCAUCACAUCCUAUCCACUAGAAAUUUCCUCACUCCUGCUUUCUUCUAGAUCUAAACACGUUAAAGAAAAUUUACCAGGAAAAUAUUUUUACAUUCUUGUAGAUCAGCUGAGUGAUACAUCAAUAUAUAGUUGUAAUUAAAAUUGGAAAAGCUGAAUUUAGUUGAAAGGACUGAAUAAUUUUGAUGGAGGACUACUUUAGGAAUGUAAAUACAAUGUAUUUGCCUACUUAUGUCAUUGCUGCCUUGCAAUCACGCCAAUGGAAAUUCAAAAAUCUGUAUUUCAUAUUGAAAAUUAUUUAACAUGGAUAUCUUUCAUUCAAUCUGAAUCUGAAAGCAAAGGACACAGCAGCUGGAUUUCUAAAAUGAUAAUGUAUGUUUAUGUGAGACAUGAACUGUAGCUAUGGUCUGUAGAGAAGCUUACUUUUUAUUCAGAAAACAUAAACAGUAAUAAAUUGCCCUUUCUUUCA